rnacentral:rRNA from 1 species
CCUACGGGUGGCAGCAGUGGGGAAUAUUGGACAAUGGGGGGAACCCUGAUCCAGCCAUGCCGCGUGUGUGAAGAAUGCCCUCGGGUUGUAAAGCACUUUCAGUGAGGAAGAACGCCUGGUGGUUAAUACCCAUCAGGAAAGACAUCACUCACAGAAGAAGCACCGGCUAACUCCGUGCCAGCAGCCGCGGUAAUACGGAGGGUGCGAGCGUUAAUCGGAAUUACUGGGCGUAAAGCGCGCGUAGGUGGCUUGAUAAGCCGGUUGUGAAAGCCCCGGGCUCAACCUGGGAACGGCAUCCGGACCUGUCAAGCUAGAGUGCAGGAGAGGAAGGUAGAAUUCCCGGUGUAGCGGUGAAAUGCGUAGAGCUCGGGAGGAAUACCAGUGGCGAAGGCGGCCUUCUGGACUGACACUGACACUGAGGUGCGAAAGCGUGGGUAGCAAACAGGAUUAGAUACCCUUGUAGUC